CUAGGGUUUCUCUGUUUCGCACAGCCCUCAUUUCUACUUCAUCUGCUAGGGUUUGUUCUUCGUUGUUAUAUUUUCAUUCUGCAUUUGUCUUUGCUGCGUUUUCAUGGAGAAUUUCUUUGCGCGGCCCUUAAGAUCGCCUUCCUCGGUGUGAAAUGGAAGCGUUUCGAGUCAUAGCUGCGCUACAGCGAAUACUCUUUUCGGAGAAUUCCGUUAGGGUUUUCCUUCUGGAUUUCUCUCCGUUUCCCACUUGACUUUGUUCCUGAGGCAUUUGUUCUCCGCCUUUGGAUCUCCUACUACUAGUUAUCUGAAACUCCAACGACUGGCUUUUCUGCUCUUUCGUUGGUUUACUUUCAGGUACUUUGAGUUUCAGAUCCGAAUGGAUGUUGUCUAUGUCUCACUCUACGGUGGGUUACAUUUCGUAUUCCUUUUUUGUGAUAUUUGUACUUUGGUUUGUUCUUGUUAUCGUUGUUUUCUGUUUCAAGCUUCUGACAAUAUGAAUAUUAAUUCAUGGUAAGGAUGAUGAUUCAAUUAGAUGUGUGAAAGGAUUAGUCCUUCCUGAACUCAUCCUUUUGAGGCAUUUUCAAUUGUCUGACUUGCUGGAGUUUUAACACUAUUUAGUUCGUUAUUUUAACCUCUUAUGCAAUGAUUUUUCAAUUGAAAUGGUUAGCGUUCAUGAUUUUAUGUGGACGUUGAAAAGAGCGAGCUACCAAAUGUCUUGGAACGAGUUGUGUUAGACAAUUUUUCCAAGGCUCAUUCUAGGUUAGAUUAUUUGAAUUGUUACGGUUCAUCUAGGGAAAGUCAUAAUCAUCAAAUUAUUCAUCUAGGUUAUAAUGGUUAGGAUGAACUCUCCGUCUGUAUAUUACCAGAAAUUCAAUUCGGUAUGUUUUCAUUCAUUUUGUUUUGUUUUUUUAAUUUGUGACUGCAGAUUUUUAAAAUUGGAUGUCGCAAGUAUUUAGUGUUGGCAUCACAAUCUUUGAUAAAAAUGAUAUUCCCAUCUUACUUGAAGUAAUUACAUUGCCUUUUGCCUAUGAUGGUGUUAAAUAUACUCUGAGAUUAGUUUCUGUGAAAAGAAUUCACUCUGAGGCGCAUGAAGGGUCCAUUUGUUCUUUGUUGUUUGCACAAGUAUGAGUUUUUUGUUCUGUUUUUAAUGGUUAUGCCUAAAUGGCCCGUUGGGACAAAAGUGUUUUUUAAAAAUUUCAUUUUUAUUUAAACACUUUCUAUAGAAUUUAUUAAAAUCAUUUCAAAACGUGUUUCAAACACACCUUAACUUACUUGCACCUUAUGUUUCGAUUCGUUUUUCUUUAAUUAAAAACAAUUUCAUUAUAUGAAAAGAUUUUUAGUAUUGUGCAAGUGAUGAUAAAAUAGACAGGGACAUCAGCACUCUGUAAGAGGAUGAUGAUUUGUCGAUGGGAAUCUCUCUGAUGCACUUAAUUUAUUAUUUAUUUUAUUUGGCCAAUGAUGCAUUUUAUGCACGUAUUAUCAGAUAAAAAGAUGAUGAUAUUGAUUAUUGUCACUACCUCUGAGGCCAAAGCUUCUUUCCCAUUUUCAUCCUAUUGUUUGAUUUGUACGUGAAAAUAUGUUUGAUGAUGGAUACAAAAUCGAUUUUGGAAAUGCCUCUAUUUUUUAUUAGAAAAUGUCAUGACAACAUUUAAAAUAUGAAUAAAAAUAAGUCUCGUGACCUCAAUUUUGUUAGAAUUUUUUCAUAUUAGAUUGAUGAUAUGAAAUAGGUAUCGCUUCUAUUUUUUGGGAAUUCAAAUAUGAAGUUAAUGGAGCCUGAUGAUUGUUUAAAAGAACGGAGAUUCGAAUAGUGCUCUUGUAGAAGCCUUGCCUUUAAGUUGGGCUCCAACAGCAUUUCUGAAGUCUCGAGCAUGGAGUGGCAUAUGAAGUUCUGGUUAUAUUUUAAUCUAAUUCAAGUAAAGCUACUCGAUUUCAAAUGAGACUCUUGUUGAUCUUCUUUGUGUUUGAUUUUGAAUGACUGUCCAAGAGUUGUACUUUAGGUCAUUUUGCCUCUGGUAUUCCUUUUGCCUUUCUUUGGAUGUAAUUAAUGUUGAUCUUUGUACAUUGGUUGUCUCCUUAGUUUUGUUUCAAGGGAAAGUGCUUAGGUGCAUUUGCAUUCUAUGGCAUUCAUAUUAUCUAAACAUAAUCUGGUGGGGUUAAUUCA